GAUUCCCGAGGCCACGGCCACUGCCGUGAGAUCCGAGUGUUGUUGUUAGGUUCAAAUGUGAUGAGUUAGGGAAAACAGCCGCAGGCUUCCAGCAGUCACACCAGUGCGGUGUAAAAGUACAUUUACUCUUCGAGAGACAAGCUGUCCAUCGAUCUUUGAUGAUGACUGAGGCCUGGGCAAGGUUGUAUGGAAGACCUGCAGUUGUCCAAGCUGCAAGUCUCCCCUCUCCACACCACCGAUGUUGUCCAAGGGAAGGGCAUUAGGACCCAUACAGCUCGGCACCAGUGUCAUCGCAGAGCAAUGUGUGGUUAAGUGCUUUACUCAAGGAUACAACAUGCUGCCUCAGCUGAGGCUUGAAAUAGCGACCUUCAGAUCAAUAGACCAACGCCUUAACCACUUGGCCACGCGCCACACACUAGUGCAGUCACAGAGGAUAUGAAACAAUGUUUAACCCAAAAAUGUUCCGUUGAAGGUGAUGUUGCUUCAACAAGUGAAUAGGUGUUUCACCUUCCAUCAGACGAUGUUUGUCAAAUUCCAAGGCAAGUUUUGACUAUGCAUAGAACAGAGGUCCCACAGGAUGAUACAGACCUGAGCAACAGUGUGUUAAAUGUCAGUGCUCGAAGUUCUACUGCAGGCAGAGCAUCUUCUGUAUCUAAUACAUCCUCUGCAAGCAUUAAGAUAGAGGCUGAUUUAGCUACAUUAAUUACACAGCAACAAUGAUCAAAGGACAAACAUGCACUGGAAGAGCAAGAGGAACAGCUACAGAAAAGAGAGGAGCAGCUUAAGCUGCAGGAAGAAAUUUGCAUGUAGGAGGCCAAGAUUAAUGUGCUAAGGGCUUCAUGUGUGCCAAGUGGUGAAAGUGCUCCAGCAGGACAGUCCUGUGGUGUGAGUUCUGAUAUUGAUAGGGCACAGAAGUUAACUCAAACAGUCAAUGUCAAUGUUGAUUCAUUUGUUCUUCAAGUGUCUGUGAAACAUGAACAUGACCCCCCCCCCCCCCUCCGCCCCAAGAGAUUGUUCAGAGUUUUUACACACAGCUUGCACCAAUGAGUACUCUGAAUCUAUGUCAUAUCGAACUGCUCUUGUUUUGGACAAAAGAAGUUAGAAUAGUAUUAUUGAUAUUAUGAGGAAACAAAUGAAAUAACAACCUUGUUGGUACAACGACAACCAACGCAUUUCAUCAUUGCCUAAAAGAGAUUUUCAAAUCUUUGAUGAAGGUCCGUGCAGUAUCAUGUAUUCAUGAGGGGUUUUGAAAAUAAUGUUGCAGGCAAGACUGACAGCUAUAGUAAACACACAGUCUCGGCCCAAAAUGUUGACCGCUCGUUUCAAUGGAUGCUGCCCGACUUGAUGAGUUCCUCCGGCUUGUUUGUAUGUGUUGACAGGGAUAGUGACUGCCUGUAUUUCCCUGAACAGUACACUAGGGGUUGCCCUUGAGAACUUAGCAGAAGUUGCCAGCACGGAGAAAUCUGCUGAUGCUGGAAAUUAAAGCAACACGCACAAAAUGCUGGUGGAACGUAGCAGGCCAGGCAGCAUCUAUAGGAAGAAGUACAAUCGACAUUUGAGGCCGAGACCCUUCGUCAGUCCUGCAUUCCACCAGCAUUUUGAGAAGUUGCCAGCAUGUUGACACUAAGAAACGAUCAUUAAAAGCUAAGGUUUUGCGAUGGGAACAUUUUGGUAAUGAAUAGAAAAUUGUGUCUGCCCACAUGCAGGCUCUUUCUUGGGUACCUAUCAAAUCUGAAUAUGUGAAAACACUUAAAGCCUACAUUCUUUUUCUUACACAAACAAGAGAAAAUCUGAAAAUGCUGGAAAUCCAAGGAAUACACGCAAAAUGCCAGAGGAGCUCAGCAGGCCAGGCAGCAUCAAUGGAAAAAAGUAGAAUCAAUGUUUCAGGCUGAGAACCUUCAGCAGUCGUUUUCUUAGAGGGUGUUGCAAAGCUAUGGAAGAAGUCCAGUACAUAAAUCAGCUGGACAUGCCUGCUCAUAUGUCAAUUGCACUAUGUGCUUAGGGAUAAAUGGAGAAUGGUCUAAAAACAGCAAGAAAGAUAUAACCUUAAGAUUACUUUCACUGAACUUGUUGAUUUUAUUGAUGGGUAAGUAAGGAUUACUACACACCCAGUGUUUGGAAAUGUACAGGAUGCUACAUCACCAACAAUAAGCAAAGGUGUAAACAAAAUUAAGUCAUAAUUUCAUUCUAAAGCUAAAGGAAGCAGCUUUGCCACUACUGUGGCCCUGUGAGAAGUAAAGGAAACACUUCUUUCUUUAAUGAUUCUUUAGCCUGUGAGUGGUUCUUUGGCCAGAGAUUGGUAAAUCUGUGGAAUUGAUUGCUAUAGGCCGCUGUGGAGGCCACGUCAUUAGGUAUAUUUAAAGCAGAGGUUGAUAGAUUCUUGAUUAGUUGGGGCAUGAAGGGAUAUGGGAGAAGGCAAGAAAUUGGAGCUGAGAGGGAAAUGGAUCAUCCAUGAUGAAAUAAUGGAACAGACUCGAUGGACCAAAUGGCCUAAUUCUGUCCUGACGAAGGGUCUCGGCCCGAAACAUCGACAGUGCUUCUCCUUAUAGAUGCUGCCUGGCCUGCUGUAUUUCACCAGCAUUUCGUGUGUGUGGCCUACUUCUGCUCCUAUUUCUUAAGGUCCUGUGCUCUAACUGAGGCUAGAACUAAUGAAACGGAAAUAGUUCAUCAGUUUGUCUGUUCUGCAAGGGUGAACUUCGGAUACGUACCCUCGGCUGGUGAAAAGGGCUCUUUGUGAAAAGAAAUGGUUUCUGCUUGGCUAUCUGUGUAUAGGACUCAUCAGUAAGGGCUGCAGCAAGCAUCGUUCAUGCAUGGUGUGCAAUGGCAAGCAUCGCAGCAGACAUCAUAGUCACUCUGAAGAAAAGGGUGCAGAUUCAAAACAUCUGUUAUUUAUUUAUAUCUGCAUUUGCACAGUUUAUUUACAGUUAACAGUUCCUGAUAUUUACAGUUUACAUUUACUGUUCUAUAGAUUUGUUAAGUACGGCUGCAGAAAGAGAAUCUCUGGGUUGUACACGGUGACCUGUAUGUGUUACUCUUGGGCUCGGCCAGCAGGCAUUCAUCUGGGGAAGACAACUUCUGGCUCAGCCAAACUAAGAAAUCUUGUUUGUGUGGAUGCUGAGUGAUGUGUUGCCCGGUUACAAAUCCUCACCGCAAAAUAUCAGAUAGUACACCAUAUACACCAUAUAACUUUAUAAAUCUUAAUCUGAAUAUAGGGUUAGUAAAGAAAGUAAAAAGAAAAAGAGCCCAUUUUAAGGCAGAAAGUCAAAAGUGCACAUUGGAGUUCACUGAUACAACUAUUCAUCAACCAUCGACCUCCUCUGUGCGUUGCCGACCUUCGGACCCUCGCUUCCAGUCCACUCCGUCUGGUCUCCCAGCUCCCUCCACACCCGUCUUCCUUCUUCUUCUCUUGCUGACAAAAAACUGUGAAAAUCUCUCUUCCAGACUCACAAGAAAGAGCAACAUCCCUCUCAUUGGAUAACAUACAUUCCAAAGUCCCAGUUAUCUUUAGUCAUAAUCCAAACAUUGCUGCUACAGAGAAACCAUUAAAUUAGCAGUGAAACUUUACAGCAUGUUGCAUAUGUACUUUGAUAAUAAAUUUACUUUGAACAAGCCAUGAAAGAAACAGACACAGCAAUGAGUAGUGCCCAGGUAUCUAAUGGCUUUACAAGGGCUGGUGAUCAUGAUUGUAAACUUCCAGUACAAGUGAAAUCUAAGAAGGGUAACAACACGGUGGUUACUUAUGCUUUCCUAGAAGUACAGCAGUGCUUGGAACAGCUCCAUGAACAAGCCCAACCUCACAGGAAAAAGGACACACAUUAUCUUACACACCAUGGGUCAAAAGAAGAUCGUGAGUAGCUGCAUUGUUUCAGGAUUGGAAGUGUCUGGCUUAGAUAAUGAAAACUAUUAUGAACUACUUAACAUCUAUAUGCUGAAAAGUAUGCCUGUCCAUAAAUGGAACAUUCCACGAGAGGGGGAUUUCCAGGGAUGGUCUCACCUAAAGCGUGUCCAUUUGACAGCGAUUGAUUCAGAAGCUGAGCUGCUAAUAGAGCCAAAUGUGGCUAAAGCAUUGGAGCCAUUGCAAGUGAUUCACAGUCUUAAUGAUGGACAUAAUGCAACCAGAACAGUAUUGAGCUGGACUGUUAAUGGACCACUGAAAGGAGACAAUGGUGGUGGGAGAGACUGCAAAGCAUCUCAGGUUUGAACUAAGAUGAGCUUUGACAGCAGCAGUUUAAAGCAGACUUCCCUGAAAGCAGUCUGGAUGAACAACCUAGUUUGUCAAGAGAAGACCAAAAAUUUAUAGAGCUGGUUGCAAAUUCUGUAAAACUGGUGGUUGGCCACUACCAGAUUAGUUUAUCUUUGAGAAAGAAGGGGGAGAACAUGCCAAGUAAUAGGAGGAUUGCAGAACAGCAUGUUCUAAAUCUAAGGAAGAGGUUUAAGGACGAUUUGUCUUUUCACACUGACUACACAACUUUCAUGUGAUAUCAUCUCCAAAGGUUAUGCCGAAAGAGUGCUAGCAGAGGAUCUGGAAUGCAGUGAUGCGGAAGUCUGAUAUAUUCCACGUUGUAGUGUUUAUCACCCCAGAAAAGAGAAAGGGAAACUUCAUGUUUUGUUUAGUGUGGAGUGACUUUUCAGGGAAUGCUACUUAAUGCUCUGCUUUUACAAAGAUCAUACUAGCUCAUUGAUUGGACUCAUAGCCAGAUUCAUAACCAGUAGUGAUCAUGGCAGAGAUUGAAUUAAUAUUUCACAGGUACCAGUGGAAGAUGCAGAUCUGCUGAGGUUUCUCUAGUGGCCUGAUGGUGACCUCAGCUCUGAUAUGGUGGACUUUUAUAUGGUGGUACAUCUCUUUAAAGUAACUUCAUCACCAAGCAUUGUCAACUUCACUCUUAGGAAAUGCACAGAAGGCAAUGAAGAACAGUUCUUCAUUGAUAAUAGACAAGGUUUUGUAUUGUUUCUAUGUUGACGACUGACUUGUGUCAUUGUCCUCUGAGGAAGAAGUGGUGUCUCGCUAUUCUGACCUUAUAUCCAUUUUUGCUAGAGGUGGCUUUAGAGUCACAAGGUGUCUAAGGAACAGACAUAGUGUGCUAGCUGUGAUACCAAAAGAGCAAAGAGUGAAAGACAUGAAGGAUUUGGAUUUGGAUCAAGGUAUACCUUCAGUGGAGAGAGUACUGGGUGUGCAAUGUUGCAUUCAGUCUGAUUGCAAAUUUAAAAUCACAAUCCAAGAUAGACCAAUCACUGGACAGGGGAUCCUCUCCAAAGUUAGUUCCAUCUGUGAUCUUCAGGAAUCUUGAGUCCAAUGGUGCUAUCUGCUAAGAAGAUCCUACAAGAUCUAUGUAAGUAAGUGCUUGGCUGGGAUGACACUAUACCAACAUCAGUUGCUCAUGAAUGGACAAGCUGGCUGAAAGAAGUCUGCCAAUGGGAAGACUUUAAAGGUUGUUAGAUAUUUGAAACCUCUGGAGUUUGGAGAAGAUACUGCUGCAUAGUUACACCAUUUUACAGAUGCAAGCAAAGAUGGUAUGGAACAGUGACCUACCUAUUGUUGCACAGCAUGCACUAUCAGGUGCGCUGUGCUUUUAUCACAGGAAAAUCUACGGGGGCUCUGGUGAAGUCAGUUUCCAUCUCUCAAAUGGAGCUCACCACUGCUACAAUGGCAAGCCACUUGAACACGUGGAGGAGGGAGUUGCAUGUGCAGUUUCAGGACUCAGUGUUUUGUUCUGAUAGUACUUCUGUGCUGAAGUAUAUCAAAAAUGAAACUUCCAUGUUCCAAACCUUCGUCGCAAACAGAGUUUCAGUAAUUCUUAAGGUAUCACAAGCAUCUCAGUUGGAGGUAUGUAAACAUCUAGUAAUGUGGCAUCUAGGCAGUUGAAAGUGAAAGCAUUCCUGAGGAGUGAGACAUAGGCCUCAGGGCCUCAAUAUCUUCUUCAGCCUGAAAGUGAAUGGCCUGUGAAUCCCAAUUCUUCUGGAAAACUUCUGCUAGAUGACCUGGAAGUGAAGGGGAAUGUUACAAUGAAUGCUAUGUAAAUUGAAGGGAAGGUGGAUGCAGUAACACGUACAAUCCAUCAUUUCUCAUCUUGAAUCUGUUUGAGAAAGACAAGUGACCUGGAUUCUGAGAUUUAAGAAACUGCUCUUGUUUCUUAGUCACAAGAGAAAGCAAAUGAAUAUUUGCUCACUGACUUGGAUGAAGGACGACAAGGGUAUUCUUUGGUGUGGGGGGGAGAGAGAGAGAAGAGAUCGAGAAGGCCAAGGAUCAGACCAGGUGAGACUGUCUCUCACUGGAGGAGUUCAGAAAGGCUGAAAUGGAUAUCAUUGGGUUUUGCCAUAGAAAGAGAUUUCCAGAUGAAUUCUUAAGUUUACAAAGUGGAGGAAGUGUGAAAAGGAACAGCCAUAUUUUCAAGCUCAAUCCAGUCCUUGAAGAUGGUGUUUUGAGAGUUGCUGGACAACUUAAUAGGGCAGCCAUGCCUGUAGAGUUUAAACAUCAUGUUAUACUGGCAAAGGAUAUUCAUAUCUCUGACGUCAUUCUGAGGCCAUUAUAUGAAGAGGUGGGACAUGGUAACCUUAUGUUAUCCAUUUGCACCAAAAUGACUGGAUUCCCAGUGCCCAUACAGUGUUAACAAGAAUCCUGCCUUAGUGUGUUGUUUAUCACUGGUUGCAGGCAGCUCCAGGAUGCUAGCACAUGGCAGAUCUACUUUUGGACGGGGUCUCUCCAGAUAAACUUCCAUUUACAGGUGUAGGAGUAGAUUACUGUGAGGGGAAGAGCCAAAAGAGUACAGUGAAGAGGUAUGGGGUCAUAUUUACCUGUCUAGCUGCACAAGCUGUUCACAUUGAAGUGGCAUCUUCUUUAGAUACAGAUUUCUUUGUUAAUGCACUGUGAUGCUUUAUAGCAAGAAAAGGACAGGUUUGUGAACAGUGCUGUAAUAAUAUGACAAACUUUGUUGGAGCUAUGUGCAAGUUGCGAGAAGGUUGAUGCUGCAUCACCACUCAACUAGCUGAUCUGUCUCGCCCCUGUAUGUCUAUUCAUCACCAUCUGAAAUACUGCUGACGAUAAUUGUGUCAUCAACAAAUUUAUAGAUGGCAUUUGAGCUCUGUCCAGCCACACAAUCAUCGGUGUAGCAAGAGUAGAGCAGUGGGCUAAACACACAUCCAUGAGGUGUGCCAUUGUUGAUUAUCGGCGAGGUGGCAAUGUUAUUUCCGAUCCACCCAGACUGUGGUCUUCCAGUGAGGAAGUAGAGGUUCCAGUUGCAGAGGGAGGUACAAAGGCCCAAGUUGUGGGCCUGUAGGAAUGAUUGUAUUAAACGCUGAGCCUUAGUGAAUGAACAGCAUCUUGGCAUAAGUAUUAGUGUUAUCCAGGUGAACCAAGACAGCUUUAAGAGAUAAUGAGAACACAUUUGCUGUAGAUCUACUGUAGCAGUAGGUAAAUUGCAAUCGGUCCAGGUUCUUGCUGAAGCAGGAGUUCAUUCUAGUCGUAACCAAUCUCUCAAAGCAUUUUAUCACAGUAAAUGUGUGUACUACUGGAUGAUCAUCAUUAAGGCAGCUUACCCUGUUAUUCUUGGUCACUGGUAUGAUUGUUGCCCUUUAGAAGCAGGUGAAAAUGUACAACUGUAGCAAUGAGAGAUUAAAAAUGUCUUUGAACACACCCACUAGUUGGUUGGCACAGGUUUUUAGAGACCUAUCAGGUACCCCUUCAGGGCUUGUCACCUUGCUUGGGUUCACCCUCUUGAAAGAUGAUCUGACAUCGGCCUUCAAGGCAGACAUCACAGGGUGACCGGGUGCCACAGGAUCCUCAUAGCUGUAGUUUUAUUCUGUUUUUCAAAGUGUGCAUAAAAGGCAUUGAACUCAUUUGGGAGUGAAGCAUCUCUGUCAUGUGCUUUGUUGAAAGUAAUGACCUCUAAACCCUGCCAGAGUUGACAUGGUUCAGAUUCCACCUCUAUCCUCAUUCAGAAAUGUUCUCUUGCUCUUAACAUAGCCUUCUGGAAGUCAUACCUGGCCUUGUGUAGCCCUGGAUACUAGACUUGAAUGCAACUACCGGUGCUGCUGUCUUGUCUCUGCCUGUACUCAGGGAGCAGAAGUACAGCCAGGUGAUCAGACUUCCCACUAUGUGAGCAUGGGGUGGCAUGGUAAGCACUCUUGAUGGUUCUAUAACAGUGAUCCAGUGUGUUGGCUCCUCUAGUUUCACAACUGGUAUGUUGGUAAUAAUUAUUUAGAGAUCUUUUCAAGCUGCCCUAGUUAAAAUACCCCAAAUGAUGAGGAAGGCAUCUGGGUUGGCUGUUUUAUGCCUGUUGAUUACGUUGCUCUGUGCAUCUAGAGCCUGUUUGAUACAAGCCUGAGGUGGGACAUACACUACUAUCAAGUUGAUGGCUGAAAAUUCCUGUGACAGAUAAAAUGGACGACACUUGAUUCCAAGAUGUUCCAGGUUGAGUGAGCAGGACUGGGACAGCACUGCCAUAUUUGUACACCACAAUGUGUUGAUCAUAAAGCAUACUCCACCUCCACUGCCUUUGAAAGACUCAGCAGUCCUAUGUUGGUGAUUUGUGAAGUCAGCAGGCUGUAUCACUACAUCUGGAAUGGCGGGGAUAACCAAGACUCCGUGAAACAUAAAACAACAGAAAUGGUCGAUGUUGCCGCAGUUUCCUGUUCUGUAUCGCUGGAGGUGAAAUGUACCUGAGCCUGCGGUUCUUUGGCAGAAGUGGGCCUUGAUUCUGUUCCAACUUGCGUUGUCUUCAUGGUAGUAGUUUUCUUGAUCUUCUGUUUGUGAGGCAUAACUUGAAACAAUCGGAAUAGUUUAUAAGUAACUUUUAGAAAGUAUUGACUAACUUUUCUUCACUUAAACAUUAAUUUACUGAUUUUUUACGGGAGAGCUGGGUUCCCGCGUCUCGAUCCUACGUCAUCACGUGACUUCCCCCCAAAAUACAAAACUCUGAGGUGGAAUGGGUUUUGGGAGUCCUUGUGCAGGAUUCCCAAAAGGUUUGCAGGUUGAGUCUGCUUUGAGGAAGGUAAAUGCAAUGUUAGCAUUCAUUUCAAGAAGACUAAAAUAUAAAAGCAAAGAUGUAAUGUUCAGACUUUAUAAACCACUGGUGAGGCCCAUGGAGUAUUGUUUGCAGUUUUGGGCCCCUUAUCUUAGAAAGAACGCGCUGAAACUGGAGCAGGUUCAAAGGAGGUUCAUGACAAUUAUUCUAGGAUUACACGGCUUGUCAUAUGAAGAGCUUUUGAUGGUUGUGGGGUUUAUUCACUGGAAUUUAGAAGAAUGAAUGGUGACCUAAUUGAAAUCUGUCGAAUGGUGAAAGGCCUUGAUAGAGUGGAUGUGGAAAGGAUGUUUCCUAUGGUAGGAGUGUCGAAGACCAGAGGGCACAGUCUCAAGAUAGAGGGGCAUCCUUUUAGAAUGGAGAUGAGGAAUUUUGCCAGAGAAUGGUGAAUCUGUGGAAUUUGGGUUGCCAUAGGCAGCUCUGAAGGCCAAGUCUUUAUGUAUUUUUAAGGCAGAGGUUGAUAGGUUCUUUAUUAGUCAGGGCAUGAACAGAAUACAGGGAGAUGGCAGGAGAUUGGGGCUGAGUUGAAAAAUGGAUCACCCGUGAUGAAAUUGUGAAACAGACUCAAUGGGCCAAAUAGCCUAAUUCUGCUAUUCUGCUAAUUCUGCUAAUCAUGGACCACAUACGCAUCAAAUGAAGAAUUUCUCAGAAGAGCCCAAGCAGUUAGAUCACUUAUAUCAACAAUAAGAGAAAGACAACUCAGAUUCCCAGGACACAUCAUGCAGAAAGAUGAACUGGAAAAAUACAUACUCUCUGGAAAGAUCGAGCGGAGUAAACCUAGAGGAAGACGUCGGCUUAUGUACAUCAAAAGCCUAGCCAGGUGGUUACACAUUGAGGAAAUGGAAGUCAUCCAAAGAACGAGGGAUAGAUUUGUAUGGAAAACCAUGGUCACCAACGUCCACAUCAGAUACGGUACCUAGACAGACAGACAAUAUCUUUUGGUCUUAUGCUUAUAGUUGAUGACACAGUGCCUUGAAUUGUGAAAAGAGUCAUUCGAGUCUUUCCAGACAGAAGAGGAUUUGUACAGCAGGUGCACAUCAUGACCAAGACCAGAUGUCUGUACAGGCUUAUAACAAAGAUCUGUGUCUACAACUCUAGAAAUUUGACUUGAUUUCCUGACUUGACUGAGAGUGCUGGAAAAGAUCACUUUGUAUUGGACUUGGUGCUGAUAAACUCUGGCCUAGAUGACUGUAUCAAGACUUGACUGGACAUUUGUAUAAAUAUUAGGAUGUUUAUCACUGAAUAUUUCAUGUCUCCUAUUUUUAGUAGUAUGUAGUUGUAGUUAUUAUAGUGUAAUAAUUAAGCUGUUGGGAUGUCAAAGCCACGUACCUAUUAUCUGUCUGUUGGAGCCAUGUAUCUAUUUUCUGUCGGUGGUACAUUUACUAUGGUAAUCAGUCACGGUGGUUGACAUGUUGUAGAAGCAAAUGAAUGUAGCUGUGUAUUCACAUUUGUGAUUAGUUAUUAUUUAAUCUAGUGGAGAGUGGUUGAGUCACACAGAGUGAUUUUUAAUUGAUUUAAUUUGACCACUUAUGCUAAUUGGGACCUCUAAUUGGAACGUCAUCAGAAUGUUAACUAGAUUGCUAACUGCACUGAAGUACAUUAGUUCAACUGCUAACUUCGUUAUUUCACUAAUCUUAAUUCUAUAUUACUAAUUUAGUUUCAUUAGUUUUUUUGUCACCGCAAGUUUUAUCAUCUUUGCUGGUUUUGUCAUAAAGGUUGUCAUAGCUGGGGUUGGGAGUGGGGAUAAGCUCCCACUACCUAUAAAGUGCUCCAAAUGGGUUUCCGGUGACGUCAUCGUCGAGAAUGGCAGCUUAAGUCAGUAGUUCCUCCAGAAAAAUGCAUAUUAAGCCCUAUUAACACGUCAAAUAUAAUACUUUUCAAAAAAUAUUUAAACUGAAAAGAGGGGCAAGAAUGGGGAGAAGAAAUGGAAAUUAAAAAAGCGACACUGCGGAGCCUGCAUCCAAGAGGAGUGCAGUGAGCGGCUCUCCUACCUGACUGCAUGCUAGCAAGGUGGCUGCCGGGCCUCGUUCAGACGAAGCGGCGAACGUCUUUGAAAUCUUGAAAGAAAUAAUGGAGGUCCAGAAAGAUAUAAAGCAGCAGCUCCGUGAUAUUAAGGCAGAGCUCGCCAGAGUUAAUCAAAAAAUUGCGGUGGCAGAGACUCUCAUUGAGAAGGUGGAAGAUUGCGUUCAAAAUGUGGAACGGAUUCUGAGCAAGACAAUAAAAAUGAUACAUCACCAAGAAGGUAAACUGCUUGACCUGGAGGGAAGAUCACGGCGGAAAAAUAUCAGAAUCUACAACAUUCCCGAAGGAGCGGAGGGCCCGUCUAUGACGAAGUUUGUUGAAAAGUUACUGCGGGACGCGCUGGAACUUCCCCCAGCAAUGGAGCUGGAAGUCGAAAGAGUGAACCGCGCGUUAGUCCCAAAACCUACCCAGGAUAGAAAGACACGCUCAAUUAUAAUUAAAUUCCUUCAGUACAGCACCAAGGCAGAGAUUCUACGAAGGGCCUGGGGUAAGAAAAGAGUGUUUUUAGAGGAUAAAUUAAUAUAUUUUGACCAAGAUUACCCCCCCCCCCCGGCGAUCCUCCAGAAACGCAAAGAAUACUCCGAAGUAAAACGAGUAUUAAAGCAAAAUAAGAUUAGAUUUCAAACUCCGUACCCUGCUAAACUUUGAGUGUUUUAUGACAACAGGACGCAGUUGUACCAGACAGUGGUGGAGGCGACUACAGACAUGAAGGCCAGAGGGUUGCCUGUCAGCAUGACCAAAACGAAAGAAAGCCUGGCUGAGGAAUUGUCCUGCUCAGCUUGGGAAAUAGUGCGAGAAACGAGAAGGCAGGAGAUGGGAGGAGGCCGAGAAAAACAUAUCAGGAAGAGACCGGGAGUUUCCCAAAAACAGUCCUCACCCCCUUCAGAAGAGCCAUAAGGUUUGGCUAACUUUAAAAAUGUUGAGAAGCUAAACAGAAGCAAAAGUACAUGGUGAUAUACCUAACUUGAGAAAUACUUAUUAUAAUGUGGAUUUUAUAUUACUUAGUUGUUACUCUUUAUUCGCUCAGUUACUCCUUUUUCCGCAACAAAAUGAGAAUAUAUAUGUGCAUAUAAUGUGUAUGUGUGUUGUGUGUGUGUGUGUGUGUAUAUGUAUGUGUGUGUGUGUGUGUGUGUGUGUGUGUAUAUAUAUAUAUAUAAGGAGUACACAGGGAAAUCUUUUCUGUGUAAUGGAUUUGUUCACUGACUUUUAUGAAUACUCAACUCACAAAUAGAAGGGGUUAUCUCCCACAGCUGGACAUUUCCUCUAGCUCAAUGCAGGGUCAUUUACUAGAGACCUCAGCCUUGGAAUCACACGUUCAUUUCCAUUUUUGUUAUUAUUUGAGUUUCUUGGUUCUUAUUUGAUCAGGGAGUAGAUCGAUUAAGUUUUAUUCUAAUUUAAAUGAUACAUUGACAGCUAAAUACAGAUGGCUAAGGACAAGGUAAAAUUAUUUUCUUUUAAUGUAAAUGGGCUAUUAAAUCCAAUCAAACAUAAGAUAAUUUUAUCCAAAAUGAAAAAAGAACAAGCCCGUGUAGUAUAUAUACAGGAAACUCAUUUAAGUGAUAAUGAGCAUAAGAAGUAAAGAGAAUGGGCUUCACUAAUCUGUUUUUCUCCUCAUAUAAAUCAGGACAUAGGAGAGGAGUUGCUAUUCUUAUCUCGUAUGCUAAAUUUUAAAAAAGUAUUUGAAAUUGGGAGAUAAAGAGGGCAGAUAUAUUCUGGUAAGGGGGAAUAUAGACGGAAAUUCAGUUACUCUAUUGAAUAUAUACGCACCCCCGGGAAGUGAUAUUGGUUUCUUUCAGAAAAUUGCUGAUAUUAUGGUAGCGGAAACAGAAGGUCUCCUGAUAUGUGGGGGAGACUUAAAUUUACAAUUACAACCAAACUUAGACUUUUCCAUUAGAAAAACCUAUGAAACAAAAUCCUUACAUAAGAAAGUUAAUACACUUUUUGAGGAUGUUGGUUUAAUUGAUAUAUGAAGGGACCUUUUCCCCGAUAGAAGGGAUUACACUCAUUAUUCUGCUCCCCAUUCUAUAUAUACAAGAAUAGACUAUUUCAUAACAUUUGGAAAAGACAGAGACAAAAUAAACACCUGUGGAAUUAGGACAAUAGAUGUAAAUGACCAUUAACCUAUAUAUCUAUCUGUUGAUUUUGACUUACAAUGAAAGAAUACUAUUUGGAAACUAAAUUCAAGUCUACUGAAUGAUCCGUACUUUAAGGAACAAAUUAAAAAAUAAAUUGGUCUCUCCUUAGAAUUUAAUGAUAAUAGAGAGGUUUCACCUCCCAUUUUAUGGGAUACUCUGAAGGCAGUCUUAAGAGGGAAAAUUAUAGCGAUAUCUUCAUAUAAGAAAAAAAGGAAUAAAACAUAAGAGGAAUUACAAAAUAGGCUGAGGGAACUAGAGAAAAAACACAAAUUGAAUUUGGCACAGGAUACAUUAGGGGAAAUUAACAGAAUUAGGAAUGAAAUAAAUAAUUUGGCUAGGCAAGAAAUCAGGAAAAACAAUGUUUCUGAAGCAGAAACAUUAUAAAAGUGGAUCAAAAUCUAUGAAAAUACUGGCGUGGAAACUGAAAAAAAAGAUAUCAGAAAAUACAAUUCAUAGAAUUAGGGACCCAAGAAUGAAAAUGAUAAAAAAUAAGCUAAGUGAAAUUCAAGAAGCUUUUGAGGUGUUUUACAAAAUGCUGUAUUCCAACGUUCCAGGGGGAAGCAUAACCCAAAUUGACACCUUCUUGAAUUCUCUAGAGUUACCUACUUUGAGCGAAGAACAAAAUAAGAAGGAUGACUGCUGACAUAACUGAAGUUGAAUUAAAAGCUGCAAUUAGAAGGCUUAUAUUAAGCAAGUCACCAGGAUCAGAUGGGUAUAUGGCAAAGUGGUACAAAGAAUUUAAAAAUGAGCUCAUUCCUGUUUUACUCCCCACACUGAACUGGGCUCUAAAAAAGGCACAAAUGCCACCCAGUUGGAAAGAAGCGAUAAUCUCAGCAAUACAAUAGACAAUAGACAGCAGGUGCAGGAGUAGACCAUUCAGCUAUCCAGCACCGCCAUUCACUGUGAUCAUGGCUGAUCAUACACAAUCAGUAUCCCGAUCCUGCCCUCUCCCCAUAUCCCUUGACCCCGCUAUCUGUAAAAGCUCUAUCUAACUCUCUCUUGAAUGCAUCCAGCGACUUGGCCUCCACUGCCUUCUGGGGCAGAGCAUUCCACAUAUCCACCACUCUCUGGGUGAAAAAGUUUUUCUGCAUCUCUGUUCUAAAUGGCCUACCCCUUAUUCUUAAACUGUGGCCUCUAGUUCUGGACUCACCCAUCAGUGGGAACAUGCUUCAUGCCUCCAGCGUGUCCAAUCCCUUAAAUAUAUGUUUCAAUCAGAUUGAAAGAAGGCAAGGAUAAAAUGGAAUGCAGGUCAUUUAGACCAAUAUCCGUUCUUAAUGUAGAUUAUAGGUUAUUUAUCUCCAUUAUGGCCAAACGAUUAGAGGAGUUUUUACCUAUACUGAUACGUAAUGAUCAGACAGGUUUUAUACGACAAUGCCAGACUCAAGACAAUAUACGAAGGACACUUCACAUUAUGGAUCAUAUAAAAAAAAAUAAAAUCGAAGCAAUAGUGAUAAGCGUAGACGCUGAGAAAGCAUUUGAUUCAGUUAAUUGGAAUUUUCUUUACAGAGUUUUACAGAGAUUUGGUUUCCAAGACACAAUUAUUAAAACUAUACAGACACUAUAUGACAAUCCUCCUGCUAGGAUUAAAAUCAAUGGACAUUUAUCAAAUAGUCUUACCCUAGAAAGGGGCACGAGACAGGGUUGUGCAUGGUCACCGCUACUCUUCGCGCUAUAUCUGGAACCAUUAGCUCAAUACAUCAGACAAAAUGAAGAUAUCAGGGGAAUUACUAUUAAAGGGACAGAGCAAAAAUUGGCUUGUUAUGCGGAUGACAUUUUGAUCUAUCUUGGGCAACCAACAUACUCUUUACCUAAAUUGAUGCAAUCCUUUGAACAAUAUGGUCAAUUAUCAGGAUACAUGAUCAACAUAGAUAAAACCCAAUUACUUUCAUAUUACUAUAGCCCACCAAGAGAAAUUAAAAAUCAAUACCCCUGGGCUUAGCACACAGAGUCUUUCAAAUAUUUGGGCAUCAUUAUGCCAAAAGAUUUGGCAAAAUUAUCAGAAUGUAAUUAUCAGCCUUUAUAUUAAAAAAUUAAGGAAGAUGUGGCAAGAUGGUGCCUGAUUCCUUUUUUCAGUCUCAUUUCAAGGAUUGAGUCUAUUAAAAUGAAUAUACUGCCCAGACUGUUAUAUCUCUUUCAGACCCUACCUAUAGAGAUUAAUCAAAAUCAAUUCAAUUAAUGGAACAAGAUGCUAUCAAGGUAUAUUUGGCUGGGUAAAAGGCCUAGAGUUUGCAAUUAGCAAAGGAAAAGGGGGGCAUGGGGCUUGCCUUCUCUUAGAGAUUAUUAUUUUGCAGCACAGUUGAGAGCUGUGAUAUGUUGGUGCAACCCAUCAUAUGACAAUCAAUGGAAAAACAUUGAGGAGCGGGUACUUCCCAUCCCCAUACAAGCAAUUUUGGCUGAUAACAACCUGCAAAGGUACAUAAAUACUAGUCAUAACCCAUGGGUGAAAUUGACUCUUAAAAUAUGGAAAACUAAUAUAAAAGAAUAUAAUCCAGAGGGAGAUAUUGCAAUUCUUAAAUGGUGUGCAUAUGUCUCUGAUUUUACACCAAAUAAAUUGGAUGCUAGAUUUAAGGACUAGACAGCUAAAGGAAUAACAGUUCUUUGCAACAUAAUGAAAGAAGGAAUGCUGUUCAGUUUUGAAAUGCUUAAAGAGAAACACUUAAUAGAAAAACAAGAUUUUUAUUGGUAUUUACAGAUGCGACAAUAUGUUAAUAAGACGUGUAAAAAUGUAACCUAGGCAAAUACAUGCUUGAUAGUGUUAUGAUCCCAGCCCCCUCCUUUGUGAGAAUCGCAAGAGCACCCGUCGGGGGGGGGGGGGGGGGUGGGUCAGUAGACCCAGGAGGAGAGAGAGAGAGAGAGAAAUGUGCCAAAUUGCACGUCUCACCCGGGAUGCAGAAUAAGACGACAGCGACUAUUGUCUCAUGGAGACCACGUGAAAAGCCUUCGGGCAAGGUGGGCUGGUUGAGAGAGAGAUUGCAUCAUCCCAACCUGAUUGACACCUGCGACCCUGUGAGGAAGUAUAAAGGAGAGUCUCAGGGGGACAGCCCCCUCAGACGCACCAAGAAGACACGAGAGACUGUUCCCGCAGCAGCGGGAAGCCAUUCUGAAGGAAGCCACGUGCAUUAGAUUCCGGGAUUGGAAUUUGUGGCUGGAAUCACAGAAA